rnacentral:misc_RNA from 1 species
GAUGACUUUCUUAAUGAACUACCUACAGAAGAUAUAGAACCAUAAGUAAAUUUUAUAAUGGCCAAAACAUGUCAACAUGUCUAACUACCUCCUCUGUCCCAAACUGUCAAUCACUCUGUCACUCUGUUAUUUCAACAGCUCAAACAGACAUAUAAUUGCUACAUUAAUGUUCCAGUUGAUUGUGAAAAUGCCUAUGGUUCCCUUAACUACCCUCAUCUUUUUCCUUUCAUAUAUUACAAUCAGGGGUAUUAAAGUUCACAAAUUUAGCAUGUGUUUAAAAUUAGUACUGGAAAAACAUCAUAGGUGAUAAGACAUCCGAAAUGAAAUGUAACAAAAAAGUUGGCAAGAAAUGAGCACUCCAUCAUAAAACAUGUUUCCACCAGUUCACCUGAUAACAUGCAUCAUUUAGCAAGCAUAUGCAAGCCGGUUAAAUUUAAGGGCAAAAGUCAUUUCUUCUAUCAAUUUGUCUUUUCUUCUACAAAAAGGGAAAAGGCCUCAGCUACAUAUCUAAAUUGCCCAUGAAAAGUCACAGAUCAGAAAUAUACUAACAGACCUAUUUCUU